GGGGAAUAUUGGGCAAUGGGCGAAAGCCUGACCCAGCAACGCCGCGUGAGGGAAGAAGGUUUUCGGAUUGUAAACCUCUGUCCUCAGUGAAGAAGAAAGUGACGGUAACUGAGGAGGAAGCCCCGGCUAACUACGUGCCAGCAGCCGCGGUAAUACGUAGGGGGCGAGCGUUGUCCGGAAUGACUGGGCGUAAAGGGCGCGUAGGCGGCCGAUUAAGUCUGGAGUGAAAGUCCUGCUUUCAAGGUGGGAAUUGCUUUGGAAACUGGUUGGCUUGAGUGCGGAAGAGGUAAGUGGAAUUCCCAGUGUAGCGGUGAAAUGCGUAGAGAUUGGGAGGAACACCAGUGGCGAAGGCGACUUACUGGGCCGUAACUGACGCUGAUGCGCGAAAGCGUGGGGAGCGAAC
rnacentral:rRNA from 1 species